rnacentral:rRNA from 1 species
GACAGAGGGUGCAAACGUUGCUCGGAAUUACUGGGCGUAAAGCGCGUGUAGGCGGGUUUCCAAGUCAGAUGUGAAAUCCCCGGGCUCAACCCGGGAACUGCAUUUGAAACUGGGAGUCUUGAGUAUCGGAGAGGAAAGCGGAAUUCCUGGUGUAGAGGUGAAAUUCGUAGAUAUCAGGAGGAACACCGGUGGCGAAGGCGGCUUCUGGACGAUAACUGACGCUGAGACGCGAAAGCGUGGGGAGCAAACAGG